AUUAGAGUUUGAUCCUGGCUCAGAUUAAACGCUGGCGGCAUGCCUUACACAUGCAAGUCGAACGGCAGCACGGGGUGGUAACACUCUGGUGGCGAGUGGCGGACGGGUGAGUAAAGCAUCGGAACGUGCCCUGGAAUGGGGGAUAACGUAGCGAAAGUUACGCUAAUACCGCAUAUUCUGUGAGCAGGAAAGCAGGGGAUCGCAAGACCUUGCGUUCGAGGAGCGGCCGAUGUCGGAUUAGCUAGUUGGUGGGGUAAAGGCCUACCAAGGCGACGAUCCGUAGCGGGUCUGAGAGGAUGAUCCGCCACACUGGGACUGAGACACGGCCCAGACUCCUACGGGAGGCAGCAGUGGGGAAUUUUGGACAAUGGGCGCAAGCCUGAUCCAGCCAUGCCGCGUGAGUGAAGAAGGCCUUCGGGUUGUAAAGCUCUUUCGGUGGGGAAGAAAUUACACGGGAUAAUACCCUGUGUAGAUGACGGUACCUGGAGAAGAAGCACCGGCUAACUACGUGCCAGCAGCCGCGGUAAUACGUAGGGUGCGAGCGUUAAUCGGAAUUACUGGGCGUAAAGCGUGCGCAGGCGGUUGGAUAAGUCAGAUGUGAAAUCCCCGGGCUCAACCUGGGAACUGCAUUUGAGACUGCCCAGCUGGAGUUUGGCAGAGGGGGGUGGAAUUCCACGUGUAGCAGUGAAAUGCGUAGAGAUGUGGAGGAACACCGAUGGCGAAGGCAGCCCCCUGGGCCAAUACUGACGCUCAUGCACGAAAGCGUGGGGAGCAAACAGGAUUAGAUAC
rnacentral:rRNA from 1 species